GAUGACAAAGAGGAGAGGUGACCGAGAGGUCCACAAAGAUACUAAAGAAAAGCCUGGAUGGUGUAAAGACCCACAUUUACCUCCUUGUGCCGCAUUUGUUGAAAUAAUGGCUCCUGU